CCUGUCUCUAGAGGACUUGCAGGUAUGGUUACUGUGUCACAUGUGUGUCAGUAGGUGACAGAGAAGAAAGAAGCAACGUCUACCGUCAGUGUUCUCACCUGUGAGCAUCUGAAUGAUGAGUAGCCUAACACU